rnacentral:rRNA from 1 species
AGCACCGGCUAACUACGUGCCAGCAGCCGCGGUAAUACGUAGGGUGCAAGCGUUAUCCGGAAUUAUUGGGCGUAAAGGGCUCGUAGGCGGUUCGUCGCGUCCGGUGUGAAAGUCCAUCGCUUAACGGUGGAUCCGCGCCGGGUACGGGCGGGCUUGAGUGCGGUAGGGGAGACUGGAAUUCCCGGUGUAACGGUGGAAUGUGUAGAUAUCGGGAAGAACACCAAUGGCGAAGGCAGGUCUCUGGGCCGUCACUGACGCUGAGGAGCGAAAGCGUGGGGAGCGAACAGGAUUAGAUACCCUGGUAGUCCACGCCGUAAACGGUGGAUGCUGGAUGUGGGGCCCGUUCCACGGGUUCCGUGUCGGAGCUAACGCGUUAAGCAUCCCGCCUGGGGAGUACGGCCGCAAGGCUAAAACUCAAAGAAAUUGACGGGGGCCCGCACAAGCGGCGGAGCAUGCGGAUUAAUUCGAUGCAACGCGAAGAACCUUACCUGGGCUUGACAUGUUCCCGACAGCCGUAGAGAUACGGUCUCCCUUCGGGGCGGGUUCACAGGUGGUGCAUGGUCGUCGUCAGCUCGUGUCGUGAGAUGUUGGGUUAAGUCCCGCAACGAGCGCAACCCUCGCCCUGUGUUGCCAGCACGUCAUGGUGGGAACUCACGGGGGACCGCCGGGGUCAACUCGGAGGAAGGUGGGGAUGACGUCAGAUCAUCAUGCCCCUUACGUCCAGGGCUUCACGCAUGCUACAAUGGCCGGUACAACGGGAUGCGACACUGUGAGGUGGAGCGGAUCCCUUAAAACCGGUCUCAGUUCGGAUUGGAGUCUGCAACCCGACUCCAUGAAGGCGGAGUCGCUAGUAAUCGCGGAUCAGCAACGCCGCGGUGAAUGCGUUCCCGGGCCUUGUACACACCGCCCGUCAAGUCAUGAAAGUGGGUAGCACCCGAAGCCGGUGGCCCAACCUUUUGGGGGGAGCCGUCUAAGGUGAGACUCGUGAUUGGGACUAAGUCGUAACAAGGUAGCCGUACCGGAAGGUGCGGCUG